rnacentral:tRNA from 1 species
GGAGAGGUGCCGGAGCGGUCGAACGGGCGUGUCUGGAGAACACGUGAGCCGCAAGGCUCCCAGGGUUCAAAUCCCUGCCUCUCCG